ACUGACUCCCCUAGCAUGGGUUUUAAGACGGMUUAUCAGCCACACUGGAACUUGAGACACUGGUCCAGACUCCUACGGGAGGCAGCAGUGGGGAAUAUUGCACAAUGGGGGAAACCCUGAUGCAGCCAUGCCGCGUGUAUGAAGAAGGCCUUCGGGUUGUAAAGUACUUUCAGUUGUGAGGAAGGCGGUAACGUUAAUAGCGUUGCCGUUUGACGUUAGCAACAGAAGAAGCACCGGCUAACUCCGUGCCAGCAGCCGCGGUAAUACGGAGGGUGCGAGCGUUAAUCGGAAUUACUGGGCGUAAAGCGCAUGCAGGCGGUCUGUUAAGCAAGAUGUGAAAGCCCGGGGCUCAACCUCGGAACAGCAUUUUGAACUGGCAGACUAGAGUCUUGUAGAGGGGGGUAGAAUUUCAGGUGUAGCGGUGAAAUGCGUAGAGAUCUGAAGGAAUACCGGUGGCGAAGGCGGCCCCCUGGACAAAGACUGACGCUCUGAUGCGAAAGCGUGGGGAGCAAACAGGAUUAGAUACCCUGGUAGUCCACGCCGUAAACGAUGUCUACUUGGAGGUUGGGACCUUGAGUCCUGGCUUUCGGAGCUAACGCGUUGAGUAGACCGCCUGGGGAGUACGGUCGCAAGAUUAAAACUCAAAUGAAUUGACGGGGGCCCGCACAAGCGGUGGAGCAUGUGGUUUAAUUCGAUGCAACGCGAAGAACCUUACCUACUCUUNACAUCCAGAGAAUUCGCUAGAGAUAGCUUAGUGCCUUCGGGAACCCUGAGACAGGUGCUGCAUGCGCUGUCGUCAGCUCGUGUUGUGAAAUGUUGGGUUAAGUCCCGCAACGAGCGCAACCCUUAUCCUUGUUUGCCAGCACAUAAUGGUGGGAACUCCAGGGAGACUGCCGGUGAUAAACCGSAGGAAGGUGGGGACGRCGUCAAGUCAUCAUGGCCCUUACGWGUAGGGCUACACACGUGCUACAAU
rnacentral:rRNA from 1 species